rnacentral:rRNA from 1 species
CCUACGGGGGGCAGCAGUGGGGAAUAUUGGGCAAUGGGCGCAAGCCUGACCCAGCAACGCCGCGUGAAGGAAGAAGGCUCUCGGGUUGUAAACUUCUUUUGACAGGGAAGAGCAGAAGACGGUACCUGUCGAAUAAGCCAUGGCUAACUACGUGCCAGCGGCCGCGGUCAUACGUAGGUGGCAGGCGUUGUCCGGAUUUACUGGGGGUAAAGGGCGUGUAGCCGGGCUGACAAGUCAGAUGUGAAAUCCGGGGGCUCAACCCCCGAACUGCAUUUGAAACUGUUGGUCUUGAGGAUCGGAGAGGCAGGCGGAAUUCCUAGUGUAGCGGUGAAAUGCGUAGAUAUUAGGAGGAACACCAGUGGCGAAGGCGGCCUGCUGGACGACAACUGACGGUGAGGCGCGAAAGCGUGGGGAGCAAACAGGAUUAGAUACCCUGGUAGUC